AACGAACGCUGGCGGCGUGCUUAACACAUGCAAGUCGAACGAUGACGCCCGCUCCUGCCCGGUCUGAUGAGUCGCGAACGGGUGAGUAACACGUGAGCAACCUCCCCUUCACUCUGGAGUAACCCCAGGACAUCGGGGAUAAUACCGGAGAUGAGCUCCUGAAACCUGGCGGGCGUUGGAAAGCUUUCCGGGGUAGGGUGGGCUGUCGGCUUAUCAGUUUGGUGGGGGAGUAGUGGCUCAACAAGGCGAUGGCGGGUAGCCGGCCUGGGAGGGCGACCCGCCCCCCUGGGACUGAGGCACGGCCCAGACUGCUACGUGAGGCAGCAGUGGGGAAUAUUGCACAAUGGGCGAAAGCCUGAUGCAGCGACGCCGCGUGAGUGAUGACGGCCUUCUGGUUGUAAACCUCUUUCAGCAGGGAAGAAGCGAAAGUGACGGUACCUGCAGAAGAAGCGCCGGCUAACUACGUG
rnacentral:rRNA from 1 species